rnacentral:rRNA from 1 species
AUGAAAGUUGAUAUGAUGAAAGCAUAUGACCGCGUCGAAUGGAGUUAUUUGAAGGCAGUUAUACUGAAACUUGGCUUUUGCUCUAGCUGGGUGGCAAAAAUCAUUCAGUGUGUCUCCACGGUUACUUUUAGUGUCCUCUUAAACGGCUCAAAAUUGGAAGAGUUCCGUCCGUCCAGAGGGAUCCGUCAGGGUGAUCCCAUAUCACCUUAUCUCUUUUUACUGGCGGCUGAGGGCCUCUCUUGUUUAUUACGGGCUAAGAGCUCUAAUGAGGAUAUUCAAGGAGUGGUGGUAGCACAAGGUGCCCCCCGGUUAAUCAUUUGCUUUUUGCGGAUGACUGUUUGUUGA